AAGCCGUAACAAGGUCUCCGUAGGUGAACCUGCGGAGGGAUCAUUACAAGAACGCCCGGGCUUCGGCCUGGUUAUUCAUAACCCCUUGUUGUCCGACUCUGUUGCCUCCGGGGCGACCCUGCCUUCGGGCGGGGGCUCCGGGUGGACACUUCAAACUCUUGCGUAACUUUGCAGUCUGAGUAAACUUAAUUAAUAAAUUAAAACUUUUAACAACGGAUCUCUUGGUUCUGGCAUCGAUGAAGAACGCAGCGAAAUGCGAUAAGUAAUGUGAAUUGCAGAAUUCAGUGAAUCAUCGAAUCUUUGAACGCACAUUGCGCCCCCUGGUAUUCCGGGGGGCAUGCCUGUUCGAGCGUCAUUUCACCACUCAAGCCUCGCUUGGUAUUGGGCAACGCGGUCCGCCGCGUGCCUCAAAUCGUCCGGCUGGGUCUUCUGUCCCCUAAGCGUUGUGGAAACUAUUCGCUAAAGGGUGUUCGGGAGGCUACGCCGUAAAACAACCCCAUUUCUAAGGUUGACCUCGGAUCAGGUAGGGAUACCCGCUGAACUUAA
rnacentral:rRNA from 1 species